CAUUUUUUUGAAGUCUCUAAUAACAAGUCACAUCAUAGAGUGGAACAUAAACAUGAGCAUUUUUUCCCUGCUUCCACUAUUGUUAUCUAGGAAGCUACAAUCACGGAAACUACAGCUCUAAGUUUUUGUUGGACUACUACUACUAUAUGUCCCAGUAAAUAUGAUUAUCUCGCAGUAUUGUCUAAUUUGUAAUUCUGGAAUUCCAACUUGAUAUGAUAUUAUAUGUAUUUUUACCUUUGUUCUGAAGGGUUCUGCUGCUAAUUGUGAACAAUGGACCUUGUAACAUUAUUUUCUGAAGCUUUUUGAUGAAAUGUAUAGUACUUUCUGGUGAGGUGCUGAAGAAGUUGGCUUUAAAAUGUCAAAAGAUGGAAUUUGAAUACUGCACUAAUUGGCUUAAUGAGCCGAAUAGACUUGGAUGCUUCUUUCUUACGGUUGCAUAUAAUGUUCUUUAUUGCAUAGAUUUUGAUGCAAGAGUUCUAUGUAGAUAGAACCCUUCGAUUUGCGGAUGUAUACUUCAGAAAUUUGGUUUCUAGAAACCGAAUUUUUUUGACUUGUUAAAUAUUCGGUUUAUGACUUGAGAACAUAGGUAAUGCGGUG
rnacentral:lncRNA from 1 species